CCAGACUCCUACGGGAGGCAGCAGUGAGGAAUAUUGGUCAAUGGCCGCAGGGCUGAACCAGCCAAGUCGCGUGAGGGAUGACGGUCCUAUGGAUUGUAAACCUCUUUUGUCGGGGAGCAAAAGCCGGACGUGUCCGGCCGUGAGAGUACCCGAAGAAAAAGCAUCGGCUAACUCCGUGCCAGCAGCCGCGGUAAUACGGAGGAUGCGAGCGUUAUCCGGAUUUAUUGGGUUUAAAGGGUGCGUAGGCGGAUUUUUAAGUCAGCGGUAAAAUGUCCGGGCUCAACCCGGGCCGGCCGUUGAAACUGGGGAUCUUGAGUGGGCGAGAAGUAUGCGGAAUGCGUGGUGUAGCGGUGAAAUGCAUAGAUAUCACGCAGAACUCCGAUUGCGAAGGCAGCAUACCGGCGCCCAACUGACGCUGAAGCACGAAAGCGUGGGUAUCGAACAGGAUUAGAUACCCGAGUAC
rnacentral:rRNA from 1 species